rnacentral:rRNA from 1 species
UACGGAGGGGCUAGCGUUGUUCGGAAUUACUGGGCGUAAAGCGCACGUAGGCGGCUUUGUAAGUUAGAGGUGAAAGCCCAGGGCUCAACCCUGGAAUUGCCUUUAAGACUGCAUCGCUUGAACAUCGGAGAGGUAAGUGGGAAGUUCCGAGUGUAGAGGUGAAAGUUCGUAAGAUAUUGGGAAGAACACCGGUGGCGAAGGCG